UCCUGGUGGCUUAAUCGGUAAAGAAUCUGCCUGUAGUGCAGGAUGCCUGGGUUUGAUCCCUGGGUCAGGAA
rnacentral:tRNA from 1 species